CACGGCGCAAUGUAGUCAGGCCGCUCCUCUUGCUAAUCACCCUGUUGUUGUCUGUUUGUCCCCUCAAGAGAGUUGAUGAUACUCUCGCCAACCUCGGUUUUGCAAAGCGGGCACAAGGCAUUGAUCUUCAACCAUUUAUCUACACAGUCCUUGUGGAAAAAGUGUGCACAUGGCAACUCUCUCAGUUCAUCGUUGUUAGCGUAUUUCGCCAAGCAGAUGCAACAGACAGCAUCUUCUCCAGAAAUCACUCGUUCCUUUUCAGUUCCAG
rnacentral:misc_RNA from 1 species